GACGAAGGGGGCUAGCGUUGUUCGGAAUUACUGGGCGUAAAGAGCGCGUAGGCGGUUUGGUAAGUUGGAAGUGAAAGCCCGGGGCUUAACCCCGGAAUUGCUUUCAAAACUGCCAGGCUAGAGUGUAGUAGGGGAUGAUGGAAUUCCUAGUGUAGAGGUGAAAUUCUUAGAUAUUAGGAGGAACACCGGUGGCGAAGGCGGUCAUCUGGGCUACAACUGACGCUGAGGCGCGAAAGCGUGGGGAGCAAACAGG
rnacentral:rRNA from 1 species